rnacentral:rRNA from 1 species
GAGUGGACGCACCAAUGGUGUAUCUGUUGUAACGCCAGUUGCAUCGCAGAGUAGCUAUGUGCGGACGGGAUAAACGCUGAAAGCAUCUAAGCGUGAAGCCUCCUCCAAGAUGAGUUUUCCCAUAUUUAUUAGUAAGUGCCGUUGAAGACUACAACGUUGAUAGGCUAGAGGUGGAAGCAUGGCGACAUGUUGAGCUGACUAGUACUAAUAGCACGAGGAUUUAAUCCUA